AGUGAUAUAAAAAAAUUAAAAGAAUAGAUAUAUUUAUAUACAUUUUUUAAAAUAUGUAACUUUCAUUGAAAAUAGAGGAAACAUUACAAAGUUACUAGAUUUGAGAUACUAGAACCUUAUUUCUUAGUGGGAUGUAUGCUGGAGGAAAUAGAGUACCGGAGUUGAGCGGGGUUAUAAAUUUUGACCAUUUUACCAGUCUUGAAAAUGCACAACUUAUAAGUUUAGGGGUAUUUUGGUAAUUUACCACAUGAGGGUUUUGGUGGCUGCCUAAAAACUUGACACCUGCCCAUUCUUUUUUCAACAAGGAUUAAUUAAUUUAAUCCUUAAUUCAUUUAGAGAAAAAUCAAGAAAAAAGCCAAAAAAAUAAAACAACCUCUCUUUUCCUUCUCUCUCUCUUCGAACCAGCCAAAAGCAAGGAGGAUGAGCUACUAAAUUCUGUAUUUUCCGCAAGGAUUCAAGUUGAAAUCAAGUGUUCUUGAAGCUAAGGUAAAGGAAAAGCGAAAGCUGAACAUGAGUGAGCCUGAGCUGGGAUGAGGUUGUACAUAUCAUGGCGGGGCGACCUGGAGUGUUCGGUCUCGGGACAUUUGGGGUUGUUAUUUUGUAAUCGCUGUGCGACCUGACUAUUGUAUUUUGAAUAUUUUGUAUAAAAGUUUAGAAACGGGAUCCCGGAACUUGUAAAUGAAUAUAUAAAGUUUAUUAUUUAAUAUAAAAGUUUUAAUUUGAUACGA